AGGGAUGUAGCUCAGAUGGUAGAACGCUUGCUUAGCAUGAACGAGGCAUGGGGAUUGAUACCCCGCAUUUCCA
rnacentral:tRNA from 1 species